UACACAUUGGAUGAUAUGGAUUUGUUAAUCAAAGGAUCAUCAACAGUAGGUGAAGAGACUGUAGCAGAGAUGUUUGAAACUUAUGUAGAAGCCGGACUGAAGGAGGUUAUGGAGAUAAGAAAUGGAUGUACUGAAUAUCAUAGUCCCCACUGGAGACACAUCAGGUUUGUCAAUAAUAUUCCACUCGUACAUCACAUUGAAAUGCGGAAUGAUGCUGAUGGAAUGGGCCGUAGG